rnacentral:rRNA from 1 species
UACAGAGGUCUCAAGCGUUGUUCGGAUUCAUUGGGCGUAAAGGGUGCGUAGGCGGCGCGGUAAGUCGGGUGUGAAAUCUCGGAGCUUAACUCCGAAACUGCAUUCGAUACUGCCGUGCUUGAGGACUGGAGAGGAGACUGGAAUUUACGGUGUAGCGGUGAAAUGCGUAGAUAUCAGGAGGUACACCUGUGGUGUAGACAGCUUUCUGGACCAUAGCUGACGCUGAGACACGAAAGCGUGGGUAGCAAACAGG